rnacentral:lncRNA from 1 species
AUUUAAAACGCACAAUCUUAAGGUAGCUGUAACUCAUACACUCUGAGGGGUACAUUUAAAAAGCAAGUGCAAAUCCACACACUUCUUGAUCUUUAAAGCCAGUACCUGCCUCAGCAUUUGACAUUCGAUUCAACCAUUAAGAACAAUACUGAAACUAAAAUCUUAAGGGAGAGGAAGGGGAGGGGAGUGGAGAGGGAAAGAGAGUUCUCUGAACACCAAGGGUCAAGAUUCAUAUUAUGCAGGAAGUAGUAUAGUAAAUAAUAUUAAGUCUGCCUCUACCGCAUUUCCACCUAACUGCUGAUCCGCACAGAACGUGGGCAAAGAGCGCCCCAUCCGCAGAAACGAUUGUUUAAAACCUGGCGACAGCAGGGUAGAGGACGCCUGCUGCCGGAGGGGCUAUGUCAUCCGUGUCAAGGCAGGCUCUGAGUAGGGGAAUCAGGGCAGAAUUCGGUCUGGCUGGACUCAGAAAGCCCCACACUUUUUCUGCCCGAUGUUUUACCCCUGUUUCUUCUUUAGGAACAAACUUAGAGCUGGAAAGUGUUCGAUCUUUUUUCCUCAAACUACACAGGCCUGGUCUUCUUUUUUUACAUUUCAGAACUCUCCUGAACUUCUCCAGGUGAAAGGGAGAAAGAGGUGGUACUGGAAUUGCCUUUAUUUAAACGGGGGUGUAUCCUACAUCUUAGGUGGGAGGCUAAUGGAGGGCAGUACCCAGAGACAGAGUAAGGCAAGAGUUGCAGGCAAGGAGGCGACUUGAAAGCAAAGACGCAAGAAAAUUCUGUGCAGCCGGGAAUCUGGGAAAUCUCAGAUCCCUCAAACUUAAGACAGGGGUCUUCCCCCCCAAACCCCUUCAGCAUCAGAAUUCCAUUCCUGAAGCCAGGAGGGAAUGCAUUCUUUCUGAAAGUAUCAAGACGGCGCCAGGCAGCUCAGUGUUCGCAGACAGCUGUGGCGCGACGCAACUUAAGGAGGUUCUAGUGUCAUCCGCGCCGGGGGGGAGGAGCCUGGCGCUGGCGAGUAGGGGACAGGAUCCCCGGCACAAGGAAACUGCAACCCAAACCCGCUCCAGGACUUCUCCCCCCGCCCCGCGCACCCCCGCCCCUCCUCCCGCCCCUCCACUGACCGGAAAGGGGCGCCGCAGAGGGCGGCCGCCGGCGGAGGGGCGGCGGGCAGGGUGGGCGAGGCCCGCGGGGCUUGGGGGCGGACGGGAGGGAACGCGCGCUCUGGCCCUUUAAAUGUGGCCGCGGCUCCUGCCAAUUCAUUCGGGUCGGGUGGACGAUUCCGUCCCGGUGCAGCCAGCCUGCCCCAUUCAUGAAGUUCAUUUCGAUGGGCAGAAUUUUCUUUUUCAGACUUUUAAAAAAUAGGCACGCAUGGAUCAUUAUUAGGAUCUAAUGCAGGGUGUUUGGGAGAGCGCAUCGAUGUGGGGAAACGUGCGCGUUAAAUUGAUCAGAAAAACAAAAUGUUUCAUGUCAAGGUAUUUUGAGAUUUGCCUCUCGGGCCGACUUCCUAAGAGGGUGAGUCAUCGGAUAAAGGGGAGAUGCCUUUG